GACGAACGCUGGCGGCGUGCUUAACACAUGCAAGUCGAACGGAAAGGCCCUGCUUUUGUGGGGUGCUCGAGUGGCGAACGGGUGAGUAACACGUGAGUAACCUGCCCUUGACUUUGGGAUAACUUCAGGAAACUGGGGCUAAUACCGGAUAGGAGCUCCUGCUGCAUGGUGGGGGUUGGAAAGUUUCGGCGGUUGGGGAUGGACUCGCGGCUUAUCAGCUUGUUGGUGGGGUAGUGGCUUACCAAGGCUUUGACGGGUAGCCGGGCUGAGAGGGUGACCGGCCACAUUGGGACUGAGAUACGGCCCAGACUCCUACGGGAGGCAGCAGUGGGGAAUAUUGCACAAUGGGCGGAAGCCUGAUGCAGCAACGCCGCGUGCGGGAUGACGGCCUUCGGGUUGUAAACCGCUUUCGCCUGUGACGAAGCGUGAGUGACGGUAAUGGGUAAAGAAGCACCGGCUAACUACGU
rnacentral:rRNA from 1 species